AAGAGCCGUAUGCGGGAAAUUCGCAAGUACGGUUCUGUUGGGGGGAUCGUAGCAGUUAAACCUAAUAGGAGGAUUUAAAGUUAUGAUCUCUACCGGAC
rnacentral:ncRNA from 1 species